rnacentral:sRNA from 1 species
UAUUGAACAACGCAAACAACAACGUCUAUGCUCCCCUGAUACAUGCCUGGUGUGAGGUGGCAACUCUGUUGCUAUCCAAGACCUUCUAGGAUCGCGAGGAACACAAGACGGAGAAGAAAGCGAGCAAUCUUGGGUGCGGUGCUACCCGGCCACAGGCCGAUGGGAAGGACCGCAAUGAUUGAACGUACAU